GCCCAGGGGAAGUUCUGCCGUGCCGGGGCGUGCCCACCCACCUUCGCUGCCACCGGGACGUGCCACGGGGGGCUGCUGAACUGCUGCUCCAAGAUUUUGGCAGAGUAAGAAGAAAAGGCUUUCCUGGAUCUGAGCCCUUGUACCAGCAACAUUUCCACUGCCUUGAGGAGCUGAUUUUCAUGGAUUCCUCCUCUAUCUAAAGCCUCCUGCAAAUGAGCAUUAAAAGAAGCUUCCAGAGGGCAUGUCCUGUUAGCACACCGCUUCUGGAGAUGCGGGUUUUUCCUCACUGAAGUCACUCCCUUUUUGCUUUUAAUACUCAAGCCACUUUGGCUCCUUGGCCACCUAUUGCAGCCUACCUCACAGGGGUGUUUGGAGGUUCAAUCACUUCAGGCUCAUGCAGCUCU